rnacentral:sRNA from 1 species
CUCCGACAUAGAGCAGCUUCAGCUCGGCCGUUGAAAUCAGAGCAGAU